rnacentral:rRNA from 1 species
CACGUAGGGGGCGAGCGUUGUCCGGAUUUAUUGGGCGUAAAGAGCUCGUAGGCUGUUCGAUAAGUCGGGUGUGAAACCUCCAGGCUCAACCUGGAGACGCCACCCGAUACUGUCAUGACUAGAGUCCGGUAGGGGAGCGUGGAAUUCCUGGUGUAGCGGUGAAAUGCGCAGAUAUCAGGAGGAACACCAAUGGCGAAGGCAGCACUCUGGGACGUGACUGACGCUGAGACGCGAAAGCGUGGGGAGCAAACAGG